rnacentral:pre_miRNA from 1 species
AGGAGGAACAACCGCAGUGGCGGGGCCAGCUCUGCAGCUCUGUAACCACGGAGCUCUCCGUCUGCAGGGCCUGGAGGCUCCGGGGCGCG